AGUGGCGGACGGGUGAGUAACGCGUGAGAAUCUGCCUUGGGGUCGGGGACAACCACUGGAAACGGUGGCUAAUACCGGAUAAGCCGAUUGGUGAAAGAUUUAUUGCCCGAAGAGGAGCUCGCGUCUGAUUAGCUAGUUGGUGAGGUAAGAGCUCACCAAGGCAGCGAUCAGUAGCUGGUCUGAGAGGACGAUCAGCCACACUGGGACUGAGACACGGCCCAGACUCCUACGGGAGGCAGCAGUGGGGAAUUUUCCGCAAUGGGCGAAAGCCUGACGGAGCAAGACCGCGUGAGGGAGGAAGGCUCUUGGGUUGUAAACCUCUUUUCUCAGGGAAGAAGCUCUGACGGUACCUGAGGAAUCAGCCUCGGCUAACUCCGUGCCAGCAGCCGCGGUAAUACGGAGGAGGCAAGCGGUAUCCGGAAUUAUUGGGCGUAAAGCGUCCGCAGGUGGCGAUUCAAGUCUGCUGUCAAAGCACGGGGCUUAACUCCGUAAAGGCAGUGGAAACUGAAUAGCUAGAGUGCCGUAGGAGUAGAGGGAAUUCCCGGUGUAGCGGUGAAAUGCGUAGAGAUCGGGAAGAACAUCGGUGGCGAAAGCGCUCUACUGGACGGCAACUGACACUCAGGGGCGAAAGCUAGGGGAGCGAAUGGGAUUAGAUACCCC
rnacentral:rRNA from 1 species